rnacentral:rRNA from 1 species
UUGGAUAACCGUGGUAAUUCUAGAGCUAAUACAUGCUAAAAAUCCCGACUUCGGAAGGGAUGUAUUUAUUAGAUUAAAAACCAAUGCCCUCUGGGCUCUCUGGUGAUUCAUGAUAACUUCUCGAAUCGCAUGGCCUUGCGCCGGCGAUGGUUCAUUCAAAUUUCUUCCCUAUCAACUUUCGAUGUUUGGGUAGUGGCCAAACAUGGUUGCAACGGGUAACGGAGGGUUAGGGCUCGACCCCGGAGAAGGAGCCUGAGAAACGGCUACUACAUCCAAGGAAGGCAGCAGGCGCGCAAAUUACCCAAUCCCGACACGGGGAGGUAGUGACAAUAAAUACUGAUACAGGGCUCUUUUGGGUCUUGUAAUUGGAAUGAGUACAAUUUAAAUCCCUUAACGAGGAACAAUUGGAGGGCAAGUCUGGUGCCAGCAGCCGCGGUAAUUCCAGCUCCAAUAGCGUAUAUUAAAGUUGUUGUGGUUAAAAAGCUCGUAGUUGAACCUUGGGCCUGGCUGGCCGGUCCGCCUCACCGCGUGCACUGGUCCGGCCGGGCCUUUCCCUCUGUGGAACCCCAUGCCCUUCACUGGGUGUGGCGGGGAAACAGGACUUUUACUUUGAAAAAAUUAGAGUGCUCCAGGCAGGCCUAUGCUCGAAUACAUUAGCAUGGAAUAAUGAAAUAGGACGUGCGGUUCUAUUUUGUUGGUUUCUAGGACCGCCGUAAUGAUUAAUAGGGACAGUCGGGGGCAUCAGUAUUCAAUUGUCAGAGGUGAAAUUCUUGGAUUUAUUGAAGACUAACUACUGCGAAAGCAUUUGCCAAGGAUGUUUUCAUUAAUCAGGAACGAAAGUUAGGGGAUCGAAGACGAUCAGAUACCGUCGUAGUCUUAACCAUAAACUAUGCCGACUAGGGAUCGGACGAUGUUAUUUUUUGACUCGUUCGGCACCUUACGAGAAAUCAAAGUGCUUGGGCUCCAGGGGGAGUAUGGUCGCAAGGCUGAAACUUAAAG